rnacentral:rRNA from 1 species
GGACUACACGGGUAUCUAAUCCUUUUUGCUCCCCACGCUUUCGCGUCUCAGAGUCAGGAAAGUCCCAGUGCACUGCCUUCGCCUUUGGUAUUCCGCACGAUAUCAACGGAUUUCACCCCUACACCGUGCGUUCUAUGCACCUCUAACUUCCUCUAGUCUUGUCGUAUCUCUUGCACUUCCACCGUUAGGCGGUGGGCUUUAACAAGAGACGCACAAAACCUCCUACACGCGCUUUACGCCCAAUAAAUCCGGAUAACGCUUGAGGUCUACGUAUUACCGCGGCUGCUGGCAC